rnacentral:pre_miRNA from 1 species
UAAACACCAUUUGUAUGGAGUUGGAACGUUUGUCUACGUUUGUCGCUAGGGGCGCUGUUCUAAUUGCAUACAAAUUUGAGCUA